UACGUAGGGGGCAAGCGUUGUCCGGAUUUAUUGGGCGUAAAGAGCGCGUAGGCGGUCCGAUAAGUCGGCUGUGAAAGUCAGGGGCUCAACCCUUGAAAGCCGGCCGAUACUGUCGGACUAGAGUCCGGAAGAGGCAAGUGGAAUUCCCGGUGUAGCGGUGGAAUGCGCAGAUAUCAGGAGGAACACCGGUGGCGAAGGCGGGUCUCUGGGCAGUAACUGACGCUGAGGAGCGAAAGCGUGGGGAGCGAACAGG
rnacentral:rRNA from 1 species